rnacentral:rRNA from 1 species
AAAUUGAAGAGUUUGAUCAUGGCUCAGAUUGAACGCUGGCGGCAGGCCUAACACAUGCAAGUCGAACGGUAACAGGAAGCAGCUUGCUGCUUUGCUGACGAGUGGCGGACGGGUGAGUAAUGUCUGGGAAACUGCCUGAUGGAGGGGGAUAACUACUGGAAACGGUGGCUAAUACCGCAUAACGUCGCAAGACCAAAGAGGGGGACCUUCGGGCCUCUUGCCAUCAGAUGUGCCCAGAUGGGAUUAGCUUGUUGGUGAGGUAACGGCUCACCAAGGCGACGAUCCCUAGCUGGUCUGAGAGGAUGACCAGCCACACUGGAACUGAGACACGGUCCAGACUCCUACGGGAGGCAGCAGUGGGGAAUAUUGCACAAUGGGCGCAAGCCUGAUGCAGCCAUGCCGCGUGUAUGAAGAAGGCCUUCGGGUUGUAAAGUACUUUCAGCGGGGAGGAAGGUGUUGUGGUUAAUAACCGCAGCAAUUGACGUUACCCGCAGAAGAAGCACCGGCUAACUCCGUGCCAGCAGCCGCGGUAAUACGGAGGGUGCAAGCGUUAAUCGGAAUUACUGGGCGUAAAGCGCACGCAGGCGGUCUGUCAAGUCGGAUGUGAAAUCCCCGGGCUCAACCUGGGAACUGCAUUCGAAACUGGCAGGCUUGAGUCUUGUAGAGGGGGGUAGAAUUCCAGGUGUAGCGGUGAAAUGCGUAGAGAUCUGGAGGAAUACCGGUGGCGAAGGCGGCCCCCUGGACAAAGACUGACGCUCAGGUGCGAAAGCGUGGGGAGCAAACAGGAUUAGAUACCCUGGUAGUCCACGCCGUAAACGAUGUCUACUUGGAGGUUGUGCCCUUGAGGCGUGGCUUCCGGAGCUAACGCGUUAAGUAGACCGCCUGGGGAGUACGGCCGCAAGGUUAAAACUCAAAUGAAUUGACGGGGGCCCGCACAAGCGGUGGAGCAUGUGGUUUAAUUCGAUGCAACGCGAAGAACCUUACCUGGUCUUGACAUCCACGGAAGAAUUCAGAGAUGGAUUUGUGCCUUCGGGAACCGUGAGACAGGUGCUGCAUGGCUGUCGUCAGCUCGUGUUGUGAAAUGUUGGGUUAAGUCCCGCAACGAGCGCAACCCUUAUCCUUUGUUGCCAGCGAUUAGGUCGGGAACUCAAAGGAGACUGCCAGUGAUAAACUGGAGGAAGGUGGGGAUGACGUCAAGUCAUCAUGGCCCUUACGACCAGGGCUACACACGUGCUACAAUGGCGCAUACAAAGAGAAGCGACCUCGCGAGAGCAAGCGGACCUCAUAAAGUGCGUCGUAGUCCGGAUUGGAGUCUGCAACUCGACUCCAUGAAGUCGGAAUCGCUAGUAAUCGUGGAUCAGAAUGCCACGGUGAAUACGUUCCCGGGCCUUGUACACACCGCCCGUCACACCAUGGGAGUGGGUUGCAAAAGAAGUAGGUAGCUUAACCUUCGGGAGGGCGCUUACCACUUUGUGAUUCAUGACUGGGGUGAAGUCGUAACAAGGUAACCGUAGGGGAACCUGCGGUUGGAUCACCUCCUUACCUGAAAGAA